ensembl:lncRNA
UAAACAAUGCAAGGAUCGGAGCAAAAGGGCUGAGUAGAAGCCUUCGAUAGCUGCAUCAUGCCCUGCGUUGCAUCCCUGUGCUACCGUGAGACAGUACAUAAUUUGGACUGAUGUUUUUAUUUUUAGCAAUGAAGUGCGGAACUGCUGCAAAAUAAUGGUUUGUGUGCCACUGACUACUCGGCUCGAAAUGCGGCUUGUGCAAUGCACCAUACUACGAGUGUGCAUGAGCUAAAAGACUUACUGAAUGGUGAGAACAUUUUUACUCAAUCCGGAGAACAAACACAGCUAAGCUGCCAAAGCCAC